GACGAACGCUGGCGGCGUGCCUAAUACAUGCAAGUAGAACGCUGAAGAGAGGAUCUUACUCUUCUUGGAUGAGUUGCGGACGGGUGAGUAACGCGUAGGUAACCUGCCUUGUAGCGGGGGCUAACGAUUGGAAACGAUAGCUAAUACCGCCUAACAAUGGUUGCCACAUGCUAUUUAUUUGAAAGGGGCCAUUUCUCCACUACAAGAUGGGCGGGCGUCGGAUUAGCUAGUAGGUGAGGUAACGGCUCACCUAGCCGACGAUAAAUAGCCGGCCUGAGAGGUUGAACGGCCACAGUGGGAGUGAGACACGGCGCAGACUCCUACGGGAGGCAGCAGUGGGGGAUAUUGGAAAAGGGGGGCAACCCUGAUCCAGCGACGCCGCGUGAGGGAAGAAGGUUUUCGGAUUGUAAAACUCUGUUGACGGAGAAAAAAAUGAUGGUAUCCGUUUAGAAAGCCACGGCUAACUACGUG
rnacentral:rRNA from 1 species